GCCAUUUCAACUCGAACUUUCAAUCCACAACGUUUAGCCAACUCCACAAUCUCCAAAUACCCUUCCCAAUUAUAAACCCUAGGCAAUUCACUCUCCACCAGUCCCCACCAUACCUCCAUCACAACUCCUUCAACACCAGCGGCCGCCAAAGCACGAAACGACUGCACCAUCGCCUUCUUCCUCUUCAUAGUUCCUUCGGGGAAAUUAAGAGUAUCAAGCGGAAGCGUGACGAACACCAGCGAACCGCACCGUCGAUGGUCAGUAGAAACUCCAUGCUGAAGCUCGUACUGGAGAUCGGCUUCGGAUUCAUUUGAUGAAGGCCCAGAGGACCGACAAGAGAACGUGAAUUGCCGAGAUUGAAGCCGAGUUUGGAUCGGCGGGAAUCGAAGUGAACGAGCUGAAGUUAAGUCAGUACGAGUACAGCAGAUAGAUGCCGAGAAAGACGGAGCCGAUGGCGAAGCGAUUGCCAUUGUUG
rnacentral:misc_RNA from 1 species